UCUGCGGUGAUGUGCCUUUAACAUCUAAGGGGUAGCCAUAUUGAAUGGUUUCUUCAAUGAAAUACUCUUGUUACGCUUGGCUUCUGGGCAUG